AGCCAGGAAACACAGAUUUGGGACUUAGACACAAAGAAGGUAUCUUUGAAUCCAUCUGUGUAGAUGAUGUGUUUAAUACAUAUUGUGUGGCUUCAUUACACCGUCGAGCCAUUGUGACUUCCGUUUGCUGUUUUCAUGCAAUAUGAUGCUUGUUUUUUAAUUGGCUUCUACCAAUUUUCCCCCAAAAGAUAAUUUCUUUGAUCAACACAUUGGCUGACUAUUGAUUCAUACAUUUCUAUUUAUUUAUAGAGAGAGGAGCAGAGGACCAAGAUUUGUAUACGCAGGAAAUUUUACCAAUUAUCCAGAUAUCUGGUGUCGGAGCCACGCACCCCUCCCUUGAAUCCUAACAGGGAAGCUUGGUGCUUUUGAUCAUUUGAAUCACCAUCUUUUACGUUCUAUUUUAACUUGAGGCAACAUAAUCUCCCUCUUUCAAUACUUACUUCAAACUUAGCUGAUCUUUGAUUUUUCGAAGUCAUGUUUAGAAGUGUGACCUGCAGGAUAUGCCAGCCUGAUAACUACAAUUACAAACUGGAUUAUUUUGCUCAUCUCACCAUCAUCCUCACAAUUGCAUUUAUUACUAUUUUAAAUGUACAUGAAAGCUCAUUAGUUACUGAGACAAUUUGAGAUUUUCUCUCCCUUCCCCCAAAUCCUCUAAAACACCAUUGUGUUAUGGAUAUGUGGUUCUCAAGCCAACAUUUCUCACCACGUUACUUCCUAUGCAACCCUCACAGACUGUAAACUUUGUUUUUCUUUGAUUCUAUUCUAAAGAAAUCCUUGUAGGGUUCUUGAGAUCCUAACUCCACAUGAUUUUCAAAGGACUUUGAUUUUUCUAUCCUUAACAUCAGGGCUUUAUCACCUUCCUUCGUGUCCCUUGGCCUCCAACACUACUGAGCUACUUGCCCUUCCCAGAUCCUCAUAUUCUUCUGCAUUUUUGCUUAUGUGAUUGUUUCUGUCUCGGGUGCACUUCCUCCCUUGUAUACCUCAUGACCCCCAGUCAUUCUUUGAGGGUGUGCUCAAGUGUCCCUCAGCUCUCCUGGAAUGCUUUCCUGAUGCCCCUCCUCACUUCAAUCCAGACCCACAUGGAUCCCCACCCUGCCCCUGUCAUGCCUCUCAGGGCUCUUGUGUUGCAGAGCUGGCAGCUCUGCUUUGUAGCUGUUGAUUACUUGUCCAUGUCCAUACCUCCCUCUAGACAGAAAGCUCCUUAAGGUCUGGGUAUUAUCACCUAGAGUGUCAACCUCCUUCCCACACCCCUGGUUUGGGGUAUAUUCAUGCCUCUAAUCCUAACCACAUUGUUCACAUGGGAGUGGCUAUCUUUUUACAUAGCCUAUCUCUCCCACAGAAUGAAUGGCCUAAAUGUUCUCUGACAGUCCAUUUCCAACAUUUAAACUGAAGAUGUGGGUCUGAGUGCUGCUGGUAGUAAUGUCUCCAGCCCAGUGGAGGGAACCAGUUUGAGAGAAAAAAGAUGGCCUAAAAGAAAAAAGAAAGAAUUCUGGAGACAUUUGCAUUCCUGGUUUUCAUCAUCCCUGGAACUUUCUUUCUCAUGCUUUGCUUAUGCAAGCCAAAAAAAUCCCAAUUUCUCCAAAGUGAAUUCAAGCUGGGUGUCUGCCCUUUGCAACCAAAGAAUCCUCUAAAAUAAUAUGGACCAUCUUAUUCAUGUCUCUACCUCCAGUAGCUGACUCAGAUUUUGGCAUUUAAUAUGGGCUUCAGAAACAUUGGCAUUGUUAGUUCAAAGCCUGAAAUUGUAUUUGUUGUAAUGUGGAAUCAGGAAUUGAGGUGGGAGCAAGCACAUGUCAUAAUGUGACAGAUGGACAAGGCUUAUACCUUAGAGCUGUAUAGUGAAGUAUUAACUCCACACAUUCUGAGCAUCUCUUUGGGUCUGAGUUUAUUCUGGUGGUAUUUGGCCUACCAUGCUGCAGAAGUGUUGGCUAUUUCUUAUCUAACCAAGAAUGAUUAGCUCUCCUAGGGUAUAGCCCUGAAAGACAAAAUGAGAGAGACCAUAGCAUGCAUACUCAUUAGAUGACUUGGUUGUCCAGUUGUCUUUGUGUUUGCGUGGUGCACAGGGUAUUUGGUGUGGGAGACAGAACAGCUGAGAUGGACACUGUUUACCAGCUGUGUGGUCCUGGGAAAGCAGCUUCACUUCUCUGGGCCCUCUUUUCCCUAUUUGCCAAGUGGAGAGAGUAACACCUGUCUCACAUACCUCACAGGACUAUUGAGGGGAUGAGACAACACAUACGGCAACACUUUGUUGUUGUCAAAUCCUUUCUCAGAGAAUCAUGUCAGGCCCUCUUCUAAACACAGAGGCCACUUCAGGGCUGAUGGGCCGGCUUUGAUAAACACAUGACAUAAGGCAGGGUCACUGCUUCAAGAACUGGCCUCAUGCACCUUUGUCAAGGAGCUGGGGUGAGCCUUCCCAAUUCUGAUGUCUGCUUUCUGUCUUUUCUGUCCUCUUGACUCAAUUGUCAAACAAAGCUUCUUGACACUUCCCAUUCUGCCACUGCUCAGAGAGCCUCUCUGCUCAGUAUUUGGUCAUGAAAAUGGAGCCUGUGUCCCCUGCCUACCUGCCCCAUUUGGGUGGAACACACCCUCUGGUACCUGCCCUAGCUCAUGAGUUGGGCUGAACCUCAAUGAACCUGACAGGCUGUUCCCUCCCAGGCUCCCACUAGUUUGUGCAGUGUCCAGGAUGUUUCCAUUGAACACAGGUGGCUCUGCAUAAGACCCAAUGUUGACUGCUAGCCGGACAUGUGGGCCAGCAUGGAAAAGUGGCCAGGGGAGCCCCAUCUAGUUCUGACUCUGUUUCCUUCCUUGCUGACCUUUGCAUAAGUAGCUUCCAGCAGCUUCCUAGUCUGCUAGACUGGAAAGGACAUCUCUGACAGCCAGUCCAUGGCCUCCCCACCAAUGGGAGGCAGUGGUAGAAAGAUGGAGGCUUUGGAGAUGGGUUCAAAUCCCAGCGCUGCAGCCACCUACCUGUGGGAACUAGCACAUAGAACACAACAUUGCUGAGUCAGACUCAGACUGUGAAAUGUGGAUAAUAAAGCUUGCAUAACAUUGCAACAAUGGCUGAUGGUUGGGUAGCUGCCUGGUAUAGAACAGGUGCUCCAUAAAUAUCAGUUUCCUUUCCCAUCCUUCAAUUAUAAAACCAACAGUUCCCAUCAUUACGACGUCUUACAUUUCUGGAAGAAACUUGCAUGCACAAUCUGAUUCCACAAAUGAAAAUAUUUCAAAAAGAAAUCUUGGGGGAAGAAAUACAUUUCCUUUUCUCCCCAACCUGCUGAGACCCAAAUUCUGGGUUCUGCAUUCUCUCAGCAACAAGACAGAACACAGCAUGAGCUAUACUCCUUCCCAGCAUGGGGACAUUGAGGGAGGAGUGGGGUUCAGUUUGUCAGCCUGCUCAGGAUGAAGACAGAAUGUCCCCCCUGCUGUUGAUGGGGAGGAGGUGCCUCCAGAGCUCUGAGCUGGGUAUGGCUCAGCAGAGCCCUCAAGGCUGAGGAUGUGUGUCAGCAGCAAAAAUAAUUCCCAUCUGCCAGGGCUGCUUAUGUUUUCAAAGCACUUUCUCUUCUUUUAUCUGUUUUUC
rnacentral:lncRNA from 1 species